UGGGGAAUAUUGCACAAUGGGCGCAAGCCUGAUGCAGCCAUGCCGCGUGUAUGAAGAAGGCCUUCGGGUUGUAAAGUACUUUCAGCGAGGAGGAAGGCGUUGUGGUUAAUAACCGCAGCGAUUGACGUUACUCGCAGAAGAAGCACCGGCUAACUCCGUGCCAGCAGCCGCGGUAAUACGGAGGGGGCAAGCGUUAAUCGGAAUUACUGGGCGUAAAGCGCACGCAGGCGGUCUGUCAAGUCGGAUGUGAAAUCCCCGGGCUCAACCUGGGAACUGCAUCCGAAACUGGCAGGCUAGAGUCUUGUAGAGGGGGGUAGAAUUCCAGGUGUAGCGGUGAAAUGCGUAGAGAUCUGGAGGAAUACCGGUGGCGAAGGCGGCCCCCUGGACAAAGACUGACGCUCAGGUGCGAAAGCGUGGGGAGCAAACA
rnacentral:rRNA from 1 species